GGAAUGGCAGGCAGAGAGACUUGUGGAAGCGAGAGGCUCCGUCUGGCUUCUUAGGAGAUGCUUCUGAAAGAAAAAGACCCUUAUUAAUUCGAAAUGAAUUUUCCAGCUCUCUGAAGGCAAUCUCCCAAAACAAAGACUAAUAAUAAUACUACUACUAUUAAUUACUGGCCAAAUUUUAAGAGCGUGUGUGAUUUUAUGAUGCUUAGCCUGGUGAAUUUAUUUUUCCUUCCCACUUAUUUCUCCUUUUUUUAAUGCCUUAUUUGUUUUCUUUAUGUUCUUCGCAUCUCUGUCUUGCUCUUUGUUUCUUUCUACUCUGAGUGGCCUCACAAAAGGCACCCCACCGUGACUUAACUUAGUUUGUUUUAUGCUAGGCAUGGAUACUGUGGCAGCAGGAGCUGCGCAAAUGAGGGAUGAAGUGGGAUGUAAUGGGAUUGAGAACUACAGCUCAGGAGGGAUAUUUUAUAUAACUGAAGAUAGCAUUCCACUCCAAAAUUAGAUAAGUAAAUAGUCAAAUCCAUCAUUUCUUCCAUUUUUAAUAAUUCAAAAGCAGACUUUCUUCCCCAGCAUGAGGACUAAGAAGAGCAGAAUUAGAGAUGCCCAUUAUUGUCUAUGUGAUAUGUUGGUAUCAAUAGCCUCACUACCUAAAAAUACCAUUGUUAUAUAUUCUGUCAAUUAUUUCAACAUCAACUCCAGACUUCCCACUAUGGUACACUGUUUCCAAUUUUAUAUCUUUAGGAGAAAGGGCUUAAAGAAUAAAAGAAUGUAAUAAGCUUGUAGAGAAGGUAAGUCAGCCUUUAUUAUUAACUUUGUUGGCCUUUGAGCCAAAUCUCAAUUUCUUUGGAUCACUCUGUUGAAGCACUGAGUUCUCCAAUAUGUGAAGCUGUUGAGGAAAGAUAUUGCUUCUACAAUUCUUACUGAAAGGGUUGGUUAUCAUCUGUGAGCCUAAAUCAUUGUUUAAUACUCUGUUGCGAGGUUUGCUAUUAAUUGCUUUUUACCAAUCUAAACCUUCUUAUUGAGGAUAUUCAAAAUGUGGUUUUUUUUUAAAUGUAUGACAGCUAAAAGAAGACCAUUUCCAUAACAUAGCAUUAGGUUUCUGUUGGAUUAACUAUACCCAUAACAAUGCAUUUUUUCAGCUCAGUUCUGUUAUUUUGGAAAAUUCCCUUAAAAUCAGAUUAUAUCCCAUUAAUCUUAAUAAAAUUUUGCUUAAUCACGAUAAAUUUGCUGUUCAACAUGUUGACAAAUCAUAAGGAUUGUUGUUAAGCUGUUAUAGUAAAUGAUGUAAAUGUGCAGUAAAUACAGUUAAUAUAUUACAGGUUAUAAAUGAGCAAGAAGUCGCAAAUCAGUAUCUACUAUUCAUUUAAGAAGAAAUAUUUUAAUUAGUAAGUUAGUGAAGUAUUGCAGGAGAUUUUUGCAUUUAAUCAUUUCUAGAACAAAGUUUAAAGAGAUUUAAUUCAUGCAAAUCACUGACCUUUACCUAC
rnacentral:lncRNA from 10 species